CAGUCGCCGCGGUAAUACGUAGGUGGCAAGCGUUGUCCGGAAUUAUUGGGCGUAAAGCGCGCGCAGGCGGCCUAUCCAGUCUGUCUUAAAAGUUCGGGGCUCAACCCCGUAAUGGGAUGGAAACUAGUAGGCUAGAGUAUCGGAGAGGAAAGCGGAAUUCCUAGUGUAGCGGUGAAAUGCGUAGAUAUUAGGAAGAACACCAGUGGCGAAGGCGGCUUUCUGGACGAAAACUGACGCUGAGGCGCGAAAGCCAGGGGAGCGAACGGGAUUAGAUACCCCCGUAGUCCCUGUCUCUUAUACA
rnacentral:rRNA from 1 species